rnacentral:rRNA from 1 species
GGAGGGGGUUAGCGUUGUUCGGAAUUACUGGGCGUAAAGCGCGCGUAGGCGGAUUGGAAAGUUGGGGGUGAAAUCCCGGGGCUCAACCCCGGAACUGCCUUCAAAACUCCCAGUCUAGAGUUCGAGAGAGGUGAGUGGAAUUCCGAGUGUAGAGGUGAAAUUCGUAGAUAUUCGGAAGAACACCAGUGGCGAAGGCGGCUCACUGGCUCGAUACUGACGCUGAGGUGCGAAAGUGUGGGGAGCAAACAGGAUUAGAUACCCUGGUAGUCCACACCGUAAACGAUGAAUGCCAGUCGUCGGAUAGUAUACUAUUCGGUGACACACCUAACGGAUUAAGCAUUCCGCCUGGGGAGUACGGUCGCAAGAUUAAAACUCAAAGGAAUUGACGGGGGCCC